AAAAAUUAGGUUCUCUCUCAUACUUCUUCUUGUCAUCUUCUCGGUCGCCACGGCAAAACAUCCGGCCAUUCGUAGGCGCUCGCGUGCUAGAGCAUUCAUCGAAUUCCAGUGCCAAGCCACGCUCUAUCAAGAUCUAUGUGUCCGUUGUCUAUCCAACUACAUUGCUAAUUUUACGACUACACAAACUCACGAGCAAUUAGCCCAUAUCGCACUUAGGGUUAGC
rnacentral:lncRNA from 1 species